rnacentral:rRNA from 1 species
UAGCGUAAUAAGUUGUCCCUUAAUUAGGGAAGAGAAUGAAAGGUUUGACGAAGAGACUUCUGUCUUUUUAAUAUUAUUUUAAUUUUAAUUCUAGUUCAAAAUGUCUGGAUUUAAAAAAAAGACGAGAAGACCCCAUCGAGCUUGAUAAUUAUAUUUUUUUUAAAAUUUAUAAAAAGUUUUAUUGGGACAAUAAGAAGAAAAAUUUAUUUCUUCUUUUUAUUAUGUGGAGCCAAUUUGAUUGAAGGUAGAAAAAGUUACCGUGGGGAUAACAGCGUUAUUUUCUUUGAGAGUUCUUAUUGAUGAGAAAGUUUACGACCUCGAUGUUGAAUUAAGGUUUCCUUAUGGAGUAGUUAUUAAAAUGGUGAGACUGUUCGUCUUUUAAAACCUUACGUGAUCUGAGUUCAGACCGGA